UACGUAGGGCGCAAGCGUUGUCCGGAAUUAUUGGGCGUAAAGAGCUCGUAGGCGGUUUGUCGCGUCUGCUGUGAAAACCUCAGGCUCAACCUGGGGCUUGCAGUGGGUACGGGCAGACUAGAGUGCGGUAGGGGUGACUGGAAUUCCUGGUGUAGCGGUGGAAUGCGCAGAUAUCAGGAGGAACACCGAUGGCGAAGGCAGGUCACUGGGCCGCAACUGACCGCU
rnacentral:rRNA from 1 species